rnacentral:rRNA from 1 species
ACGGUAAAAUCACGCUGAAACACCGGUUCUCGUUCGAUCACCGAAGUUAAGCAUCGUAGAGCCAGGUCAGUACUUAGAUGGGGGACCGCUUGGGAACACCUGGUACUGUAAG